rnacentral:rRNA from 1 species
GAUGAACGCUGGCGGCGUGCCUAAUACAUGCAAGUCGAGCGAACAGACGAGGAGCUUGCUCCUCUGACGUUAGCGGCGGACGGGUGAGUAACACGUGGAUAACCUACCUAUAAGACUGGGAUAACUUCGGGAAACCGGAGCUAAUACCGGAUAAUAUAUUGAACCGCAUGGUUCAAUAGUGAAAGACGGUUUUGCUGUCACUUAUAGAUGGAUCCGCGCCGCAUUAGCUAGUUGGUAAGGUAACGGCUUACCAAGGCAACGAUGCGUAGCCGACCUGAGAGGGUGAUCGGCCACACUGGAACUGUGACACGGUCCAGACUCCUACGGGGGGCAGCAGUAGGGAAUCUUCCGCAAUGGGCGAAAGCCUGACGGAGCAACGCCGCGUGAGUGAUGAAGGUCUUCGGAUCGUAAAACUCUGUUAUUAGGGAAGAACAAAUGUGUAAGUAACUAUGCACGUCUUGACGGUACCUAAUCAGAAAGCCACGGCUAACUACGUG